rnacentral:tRNA from 1 species
GAGUGUCUAGUUUAAUUUUUUAAAACACUAGAUUGUCAAACUAGAGCUACUUUUUAUUAGUGAUUCUCU